rnacentral:rRNA from 1 species
AGAGCGAACGCUGGCGGCGUGCUUAACACAUGCAAGUCGAACGAGGACUGUAGCAAUACAGUUACUCGUGGCGAACGGGUGCGUAACACGUGGAUAACCUUCCUUCAGGUGGGGAAUAACCCAGUGAAAAAUUGGGCUAAUACCGCAUAACAAUGCGAGGGCACAUGCUCUUGCUUUCAAAGGCGCAAGUCGCCAGAAGAGGGAUCCGCGGCCGAUUAGCUUGUUGGCGGGUAACGGCCCACCAAGGCUUUGAUCGGUAGCCGGACUGAGAGGUUGGCCGGCCACACUGGAACUGAGACACGGUCCAGACUCCUACGGGAGGCAGCAGUGGGGAAUCUUGCACAAUGGACGAAAGUCUGAUGCAGCAACGCCGCGUGGGGGAUGAAGCUUCUCGGAGUGUAAACCCCUUUCGACCCGGAAGAAUGCCCGCAAGGGUUUGACGGUACGGGUAUAAGAAGCCCCGGCUAACUACGUGCCAGCAGCCGC